rnacentral:rRNA from 1 species
AUUGAACGCUGGCGGAAUGCUUUACACAUGCAAGUCGAACGGCAGCACGGGGCAACCUGGUGGCGAGUGGCGAACGGGUGAGUAAUACAUCGGAACGUGCCCAAUCGUGGGGGAUAACGUAGCGAAAGUUACGCUAAUACCGCAUACGAUCUACGGAUGAAAGCGGGGGAUCGCAAGACCUCGCGCGAAUGGAGCGGCCGAUGUCAGAUUAGGUAGUUGGUGGGGUAAAGGCUCACCAAGCCAACGAUCUGUAGCUGGUCUGAGAGGACGACCAGCCACACUGGAACUGAGACACGGUCCAGACUCCUACGGGAGGCAGCAGUGGGGAAUAUUGCACAAUGGGCGAAAGCCUGAUGCAGCAACGCCGCGUGAGCGAUGAAGGCCUUCGGGUCGUAAAGGACUCUGUCCGUCAAGGAAGAUAAUGACGGUACUUGAGGAGGAAGGCCCCGGCCGUAACUAACCGUGCCAGCAGCCGCGGUAAGU